GGCUCUGACCGCAGUGAGGAGUCUGGGAGGAAGAGAAGACAUCUUGAGCAUCUGGCUUUGCUACACCCGGAAAACUCUACCCAGAGUCCAGAGACCAUCCCCACGACUUUGCUUUAUCUGGAAAUCUCAUUGCUUAACCCAUCAUCCAAGGAAAACAGCCCAGGCAGUGGAAAAUUACAGUUUUCCAAUAAGAGAGACCAACCACAGCUCUGUCGCCUUCAUUUCAGAACAAGCAUACAUGUCACACGGGAAGAGAAAUGCCGGCAGGAUCUAGAAGUUGCCCGAUACCAUUGAAAAGAGACUGUCCACAAAUUCUAUUCAUGCCAGUUAAAAUCAAAAUAAUGAAACAUCAGGGCUCCUCCAGGACUGCAGCCCCGGGUGCUUUCUCAGCUGACUUCACAUCUCACAUGACCACAACCAUGUCAUCCAUGAGCUGCCUGCCUCCAGCUGCCCCCGGGUACCUGAUCGGAAAUCAGGCAGCAUCUUCUGGGCUGAAGUCCGUGCUACAUCUACAGCAGAAGGAGAAAAAGUAACCGUUCUCCCCUGGGAAAGCAGGCCACAGGGAAGGGACACUUUGCUUUCUGAAGAUGCUUUCUGACACACUGACUCCAUAAAAGGCCAAUCAGCUAGUGUGUCUCAUUCUUCGGCCACUUGCCAGCCCUGGCAGUUUUAAACCCAGGGCUUCUCCCUUCAGAGUGCAAUAACUACAGUCUCCUAAUAAUGAACAAAACCAACAUUAGUGACACUGCCUGGAAAUGAAUGUUACCACUUAGAUUCUAAUAAAAGAGAAGUUGGAACAAGCUGUACCAGGUGCCUUUUAUUUGUAUUCAUAUUCAAUUAUAUAGCAUGUUUUUAGUGGAAUUGUUAAAAAGGGAUUUGUUUAUUGUCAGUGGGCUGCAUCUUUUAUCCCCACUGGUAAAACACAAUCUUAGCCACUUGCUCAGGCCCCUACUUCUGGUACCUUGACAAUUCAAAUCAGUUCAAUAUGAUUCCACAAAUAUUUAUUGAGCCCCUAGCAAUGGCCAAUACUUAUUUCCUGAAUGAAUAAACAAGAUAAGAUAAUCCUUCUUAGCUGGGAGGCAGGUUAAAGGGGUACAUGUGAGUGUGGCAACAGAUCCUGUCCCCCAAUAGAUGCUGGUCCCUGCAAAGAGUUGGCCUUCAAUCUUUACUAUUCACUGACAAAAUUACUCCUGCAACUAACCGCAUCAACCAGGAGGGACAUAAGGCAGUAUAGAGAGGCUAGACCAGAAAAUCAGGGCAUAUGAAUUCAACUUUCACACUGCUGCUAAUGAUUGCUCUAAUUUGGGGCACAUCACUUCAUUUUCCUAUGUUUCCAUUUCCACAGCUAAAAAUGGGUAGAGAGGUCCAGAUGAUGUUCUUGCUCUAAACUACCUUUAAGAGUUCUAGAAAUGGUCAGCGUCCCUCUGAUUUGGUCAUACAUAUGCUGCUGGGUCUAUCUGACCCCGCUUUUAUUUACCAGACUCCACAUAUAAAUCCUGUUAUCGUUGUGUCUGUGGUUGUCAUAAAUCCACAAACACUGUUAGUAUACAUCAAUGAGCUAUGAGACUUGAGCAUGUCCAUUUUACUUUUCUCUGUCUCAGUUGUCUUGCCUAAAGUUUCUUAUAGCUCUGACCUUCUGGCUUUCUCUUAAUAGCUCAGUCACAAGGACAGGGAAAACGUGUAUGAAAAUCUACACAUUCAUAUCCAACCCCAUCAUCAGAAAAACAGCUCACCUAAAAGCCUGCGUCCUUCUGAAGUCACCCUUGUUUAUGAAGGACAGGACAUUAGUCCUGUCAAGGGGAACAAAUGACUCAGUUACCCUGGUGACAUGCUAAAGUCCUCAAAGACCAGGACAAUGGAAACUACUUCCUAAUGAUACGUUAGAUGCAAAACCAAUGGCGUAUUUUAGUUAAAUUGAUUCUGUAUAAAAUCCAACUCCCAGGAUGAUGCACCAAAGGGUCAGAGAUAUUAGGCAAUUCUGACGACCCCUUCAGGGAAGAGGGCCAAAGAGAGACAAAGCAAAGGUAAUCAGAUACAAUUCCACAGGGAAGAGGUGAGUUAGUGGGCUCUAUGCCAAACUGGUAUUUUGCUAUGGAUGUUUCCCAGGAUGAGAAAUGGCCUUGAGAUGUUAGGAAAUGCUAAGUUGUCUUUUAAUGACCACUACUUUCAAUAUUCUCACUUUGUGGUUCAGAGAAUCCCAAACAUUUUCUAGCAGAAGUAUCCUAGGCAUUGAUGAUACGAUACGAGAUCUAUGGUCAGCAGGUAAAUCUAUGAUAAAAUCGAGUAGAAGAGUGGGAAGGAAAUGCUAAAGCACAUGGCAUCUUUCUCUGAAGUACAUGGCAGCACCAGACCCUGAAAUGUCACAUUGGAACCACAAAGCACCACCCAUGUACAUUGCUCUGCCCCAAAGACCCUAGUUUAUCAAGCUCACAGUUUUAGUGAGCACCACAUCCAAAAGGCCGAAGAGGGAUGUUUUCUAAGCAAGACAAAAAAGGACAGAAAUCAUAAAAAUAAGCGUGUAUUUAUAUCUGCAAGAUGAUAUAUCUUGUAUUCUUGUAAUAUGUGACCAACAAAGCAUUAUUAUCUCUAAUACACAAAGAGCUCCUAUAAAUCAAUAAGAAAAAGAAAAACAGGCAAAGGGCUUGGACAGGAAUUUAGGAACAGGAAAAGCAAAUGUCCAACAAAUGUAAGGAAGAUGCCAACCCCAAGGAUAGCCAGGUAAAAUCAAUUAAAGCAACAAUGAAGUAUCAUUGUUGAGGUACCAUUAUUAUCCUUGUCAACAAAACUUAAAAAUAUUGAUGACAUCCCGUGCUGGGCAUUGUAUCUGAGACAAAAGCACUCCCGUAUAUUUCUGAAGGAAAUAUGAAUUGCUACAAUAUUUUGGAAGGUAAUCAAGUGGUGCUCAUUAAACAGUAAAAAGUCAUUUACCUUUUGAUGUAAUAAUCACAUUAUCAGAAUCCAUGAACAGAAAUAAAAGCACGAAUAUAUAAGAAAACAUGUGUGAGGACGUUUAUUUAAAAAACGAAUAUUAUAGAAAAAAUCUUGAGUCAUCUAAAUGUCUAUGAAUAGGAAAAUGGGUGGCUACAUUAUGUUAUACCUAUUCUACAGAAAAUUACAAACAAACUAAAAAGAACAAGAUUUAGAAAGAUGUUCAUUACACAUUAGUAAGUUUAACAAGUACAUUUCAGAGUAAUACAUGUGAUGUUAUUUUUGUAAAAUAAAGGGAAACUCUGUGUGUGUGUGUGUGUGUGUGUGUGUACAAAGAUAAUGGUAUAGAAAGAUAUCCACCAAAUUACUGAAAAGAUUAAUUACAAGGGGUAGUAGGAAUGAGGAGGAAGAGUGGAACACUAGUUACUUUUUCUCCACACAUAUUUAUAUACCUCUAUAUUAUGUGACUUGCUACAACAAGGAUGUAAUAAAACCACAGCAAUAAAAUAGAAAUGCUAAAACAAACAACAACAAAGAGCUACACCACUUCUAGCAGCUUUUCCAGUAAGGAUCUACAGAUUUUACACCAAUCAAAGAUGGCCCCACGUUCCAGCAUGGCACCCCUCACAUGGCUGAUACUCAGUAAAUGUUUGUUGAGAGAAUAAACAUUCAACGUUCAAAAAGAUUUAUUGAAUGUGGUUGAAAGAAGGUGUAAUUUCAGGGUCCAAGGAAAGCUUUAUCAUCACCCCUCCCCUCUCCAUCCUUUAAAAAACAACAGCUUAGUAACUGGAAAAUUAUUUCAUAUAAUUUACAACCCUCAGAGGCCCAUUGGAAGCUUCUAGCAUCACAGCAAAUGUGAGUCUCUUAUUGAAAAAUAUGUGGGCCUUGUACAAUGUCUGGGCCCACCUGGGAAAAAUGCAGCUGCUUGUAUUUCAUUUGGGGGGAAAGAAAGUGAAUUCUUCACCUUUCUGACAUACUGCAACAUCACUGCAAAGCCAUUUUGAGUCCUUCUCUAAACUCUAUGAAAUCUUAUAAGGCCAAAACACUAAACACACAUACAUACCCAUAUAUUUCUAUUUGUGGCUUCAAUUCUUAAGUGAGUAUACUUAAUGUCAGCACAUUAUCUGCUGCUUCUCUGAUAUUGUGUUUGAGAAAAUACCCUACCCCUAGCUCUAUCAUUGCACCUGUAAAACUUUUUCAUAAAUACCUGUUUAAAUAUCUGGUAUCUGUCUAUGUAUCUAUCUCCCUUUCAAGACUGUCAGCUCCUAGAAGGCAAGGACUAGGAUACCUUCAUCUUUACACACUGUAGGUGGUCAGUCACUGUGCAUUGACUGGAUGGACGAAUGGAGAGAGAGGUAAAAGUCACUCUAUUCAUUCAUUUAUGCAACAAACUUUUUGAGCACCUAUGAUGUGCUGGGCACUGCUUAGUGGGGUUGGAUAUAGCUAUGGACAAAAGAGUCAAAGUCCCUGACCCCAAGGAGUUUACACUCUAGUGGGCGGUGGGGGGCAGACAAUAAUCAAUGCAUGUGUAACAUAACAUCCAGUGGAGUGUGAAAAAAAGUAUAGCACAGUAAGGAAACAGAGGGUGACAGGGAAACUUCUUUAGCUUGGGUGGUCAGAGAAGGCCUCUCUGAGAAGGUGACAUGUAAUGAGAGACUUGAUUGAAAUGAGGGAGUGUAUCAGCCAUGCAUACACCUGGAAUAGAAUAUUCUGAGCAGAGGGAACAGCAAGUGCAAAGACCCUGAGAUAGGAACAUGAUCAGCAUAUUUGAAGAACAACAAGGCAGCCCAUGUGAUCACAGCACAGUAAGAGAAAGAGAGACUAGAGUGGGAGCAGGGCCAGACAUUGAAAGGUCCUGAGGCCAUGGCUUUUGUUCAUCUGGGUACAUGGGGGCUUAGACAGAAACAUGGAGCAAAGCUGGUUGGCCCUCAUGCAGGGGCACAGCCAGGUUUUCACAAGAUGGGUAAGCUUAGGGGCAGGGGUGGGGUAGUUCUCAGCCUAUAACACUGGCCAGUGACGUGAGAGGGAACACAUAGAAGGGGCCACACAGGGACAUCCUGCUGUAAGGUCCAAGGCCUCAUCCCAACACUUUGAGCACACUGACCUUGGCUUCCUCAUUGCUUCUCCCUUUUCAUCAUCAUCUUGACAACCUUCACGUAAAAUGUUACACCUUUUAAACACUAAUGAAAGAUGCCACUUUUGGAAAGUGAGACUGAGAGGAGAAAUCACUCCCGACCUACCUCUCCAAGCGCCCUCCAGCUUCAGCAUUGCCCUGACCCUCUGUUGGGGUUUUACUGGCUCUGGACUAGAAGGAAUCCAUCAUGCUGUCAGCAGAUUUGAGCCUUGCCUGAGUGAAUGGCAGCAUUCCAUCCAAUUCCAUCCACCAUGUGAUGGUGCAAGAAGGAUGGAGGAAAUGGUGCUGAGCUUCUCGUCUAGGAAAGGAUUCGACAAGAGCAAAGUAACUGUAAUAGAAAGCAGGAUGUGAAGAAAAAUGUAAUGGGUACAAAUAAGUACUGUGAAUUCAGAAAGAAAGUGGUUAUGUCCAUUGGGCACCUUCAGGUGAGGAAGCAGGGAUGGCUGGCAUUCAAGAUGCAGGUGCUGAUGUUAUCACAGAAGAGUAUCAAAAGCUGAAUUAUGUGCAUACAUAGUCUUCCAUUAUUAUACAAAUCUGUUCUGCCCAAAUGUGACACAAGUCCAUCUGACCACCAAUACCCUUUGACUGAUCCCCCUCUCCCCUUUCUUUUCUCAGCCCAAGAGCAUUCAGAUACAUUGAUAUCCAAAUUCAGGAAAAAAUGCAGAUAUAUGUUUUGGAAAUAUCUAUAACCAUCAAACUAAUGGCACCAAUAUAACCUGUUAAAUGCUGCUAAAAACUAUCCACUUUCUAAAGUAAGAUGUCUCACCCACCCACUCAGGACUCUAGCAUCUCAUUUUCUUUCCAACAUACCUUUCAAGUAGGCAUUUCAUCAGGCACUAUGCUAAAUUACAUGUAUUAUUUCAUUCAAUUUAAUCAUUCCAACCAUCUCUAUGAAUUUGGUACUAUUUUCAUCACCAUUUUACAUGCAAAGACUAUAACUUGCUCCAAAUCACAAUCCAAGUAAUGGAAGAUCCAGGGUUCAAAGCCACAGUUUAAUGCCCAUGGUCGGACAUCACAGUCAGUCACCCUACCUCUCAAUAUUAAUCUUUCUGUUAGGAGACAGGCUGGGGCAGGAAGGGAUGUGCACAUUGAAAACAGUUCAGUUUGCUUCUCAAGAACACUCCAUGAUACAAACUUCAGAAGAAGAAGGGGGGAAAUGGUUAAAACCAUAUCCUUGGAUUAUGAGUGUAUUUUUAUUAUCAGAAUGAAAUGACUUCUCCUUUGGGAGAAUAAUCCAGAAAUGAAUGCUGUAAGGAACCUGUUGAAUUUCAUUCAUCCCAUUUUGCUAGAGAAAAUAAUGGUGAAUGGUUGAGAUUCCUGUUUUAUUGCUGUUUGUUAUUGUUGUUGGUGAACAGUUCUAAAUAUCAGAAAGAAGAAAAGUUGGACAUGCUAAGAAACCAGUCUAUAAGCUUCUAUAAGUAAGGACUUCUUAUAUAUUAUGCUCUAGGUAGACAGAAGAUGUAUAAAAGGAUAGAAAGCGAGAAAGAGAGACACAGACAGACACAGAGUCCCAGUAUCUAGCCUAAGGCUUUACAACUUGUGGGCAUUCAAUAAAUGUCAGUUGAAUUGGAUUGAACUGAAUGAACUUGAAGGUAGUGUACCUGGAUGGGAGUAGCCUGGACAAGAGAUUUAAGAAGAGCUCAAAGCAGAUGCCCUUGGUUAUGUGACAUGCAGCCAUUUAAACAUAUUAGUUUAAAGAGGAGUGAAGGAUACACUGGCUUGGGUCUCCAGAAAGUCAGAGAAACAGCUUAGAAGAGAAAGAAGAAUGAAGAGCUAGAAAGGAGCAUAUAGUAUUCAGAGUAUACAACCUACAAGGGCAAUAACCCAGCAUUCUAAGCAGCCUUAGAGAAGAACCUGCUAGAAAAGAG